CCUACGGGAGGCAGCAGUGAGGAAUAUUGGUCAAUGGACGCAAGUCUGAACCAGCCAUGCCGCGUGCAGGAAGACGGCUCUAUGAGUUGUAAACUGCUUUUGUACGAGGGUAAACGCAGAUACGCGUAUCUGUCUGAAAGUAUCGUAAGAAUAAGGCUCGGCUAACUCCGUGCCAGCAGCCGGGGUCAUACGGAGGAUUCAAGCGUUAUCCGGAUUUAUUGGGUUUAAAGGGUGCGUAGGCGGUCGGAUAAGUUAGAGGUGAAAGCCCGAGGCCCAACUUCGGAAUUGCCUCUGAUACUGUUCGGCUAGAGAGUAGUUGCGGUAGGCGGAAUGUAUGGUGUAGCGGUGAAAUGCUUAGAGAUCAUACAGAACACCGAUUGCGAAGGCAGCUUACCAAGCUACUUCUGACGUUGAGGCACGAAAGCGUGGGGAGCAAACAGGAUUAGAUACCCUGGUAGUC
rnacentral:rRNA from 1 species